GAUCUUAGUUAAACUUUGUGUAUUGUCUAGAGGCUUUGUAGACCUAAUGUACAGGCAAGGUGGUGUUUUGUUAAUAGACGUGAUGGCUCCAACGGCCAAGUAUUGUAUAUACAUAUAUAUGUGUGCUUGAGCUUAUACAGGUGAUUAUUUCCUUUUAUAUACGACAUAAUGCUGUCCGAAUUUCGGGUUGUCAUAGAGGUAUGCAUGGGAAGUAUAAGGUUAUAAGCUGGUUCUCCCGGG
rnacentral:lncRNA from 1 species